rnacentral:lncRNA from 1 species
GGAAGCCGGCCAUGGCGAAGUGGGCAUUAGGAACGCGGAGGUGGAAGGCUUGGCAAAGCUGAACGGACUGAGUGGAAUCGGAACCCAGGGCUCCAGAACAGGCCACAUCAGGGAAACAGAGAUGAGCACCUUUGACUCCUUUCUUCCAAGGCAUGCCUAAGGGAGGUUGGGCCUGCUAUGGACAAAAUUCAAAUGAGCUGCACAGUGCUGGGAAGGAACUGCAG